rnacentral:hammerhead_ribozyme from 1 species
AUCCAGCUGAAGAGUCCUAAAUAGGACGAAACGCAUGUCCUGAAU